ensembl:lncRNA
CUUGGCUUGAAAUCUGCUUUGUCUUCAAAUAGAAUAGCUACCCUUGCUUUUUUCUGGGUUCCUGUCAAAUGGAAUACUGUUUUUCAACCCUUGACUUUCAGUCUGUGAAUUUGUUUUUGAAUUAAAUAUGUUUCUUGUAUGCCGCAUAUUGUUGGAUCUUGCUUCUUCAUCCUUUCUGACAGUCUGUUUUUUUGAUUGGUCCUUGUCCAUGGCUGUGUUACUUUUGCUGUUACCACUUCAGAGAGUUCCAGGUGGGUGGCCUUUUGGAUUGUUCCACCUCAUUGCCUCCAGGAUUUGCCUUUGGUGAGCUGAAAGUCUGGGGGGAGGUUGCAUCUUGAUUAAGUGUCUUCUUAUUUUUUUUUCUUUUCUUUUUUAAAGUUUGAUUCCUGGGUUGAUGCUUAUAAAUUGCUUAUGGCAAGUAGCUUUAUUGCCAGUAUCCAGAACCCUUAGGAAAUGACUACUUCUUAAAAGUGUUUUCCAGGCUUUUGGGUUUUGAGUCUGUUGCAAGAUCCUGCCUCUCUCUCUCUAUUUAUUUGGAAUGAGAAGUUUCUGCCUACAUGGCCCAGCCACCAGUACUUUGGCACUGGCCUAUAGAGUUUUGUUUUGUUUUUUUCUAAAAACCCUUAGGCAUUCUCAGUCUUGGUAUACCAGGACAAAUAAUGAAUUAGCACAAUUAUGUCACCUUGGCUAAAGUAGUAUGAUCAAUAAUAACAAGAACAUCAAAUACAGCCUAGAAAAUGACAAACUGUGGUAACUAUUCAUUUGCUACCUUUAACUGAAUAAACUAGAUUUGUAGUUAUAAUAACAAUAUCUAGAAUGAAUCUGAAAAUUGUGUGCAAUAAAUAACCCCUUAAUAUGGCAAUUUUACUCUUAGGAGAGAAGAUUUAAAAUGGGUUAGGGGUUUUUAAAAAAAAGAGAACUAGAAGAAGAGGAAGAGAUCAGAAGCAAGGCUGGAGGACAAACUUUAGGAAACUGGUGAAGAAGACAGGUGAGAAAGAGAAAAGAAAAAAAUAAAAAAUAAAAACAAGAACAGAACAACAAAAUCUGGGCCAGGGAUUUAGCUCAGUGGCACUGCGGCUGCCUUGCAAGUGCAAGAUCCUGAGUUUGAUCCUUGGUACUGAAAAAGAAAAAGGAAAAGGAAAAGAAAAGAACCAGAAAGGAGGGAAAAAAAGGAAAAGAAAAAAACACAAAGAAAACAAAAAACCCAAAAAGUCCAAUUCAAGAUGUGUCUCUGCCGUCACUAAUAGGCAGCAUGGGCAAAGAGUUAGAGCUCAGUUGAUUAAUCCUAGAACACCAGCCACAGCUUCAUGUUGGGUUAGUGGAUGAUCCCAGUCAGCCUGCCCUCUUAUUUCUCCUGAAGUUCAGGUCAGUUUCUGUCUAUGAGGCUGGAACUGGAUUCCUUGAGCCUACAACAGUCUAUGUAUCUCCUGCCAACUUGAACUCCACUCCCUGGCCUCCCGCUGUCUUGAAUUCAGCACCAGCACCAAGGCACCCAGAGCCACUAGAUAGGGUCAGCCAGAAGUUGUUCUGAGUUCUGAGCUCAGCUGGCCCCUCUCCAAGAUGGCUACCAGCCAGAGGAACAGAGCUUCGUGGGUGCCAGCAGCACCGCUCCCCACCACCCCCACGGCUGGGCUGUGCCAGUACCUGGAUCCACACUGCAGAAGUGCAGGGGGUCAUAAAGGCCAUGCCCUGAGCUCAGAAGAUAGAGCAGAAGUAAACAACCGAAAGAGGGCCUCUCUCAGGCUCCCUCAUGAAAACUGAAGCCCACUGGAAAAGGGAAGAGAAUCUCUGCAAUAAAGGCACACCAGACCACCUUACUUGGGAGAACAACUGAGAGCUCUUCAUGCUACUGACAACUUACAGUGAAGAUGAAAAUUGAAUGUUAAUAAAUGUGAACCUAUCACUUUGAUGGCUUUCCAACACAAGAAGACUUCAGCUCUGGAACAGAGAUGCUCAAGAUCAAAGCGCCAGCAGACUCAGUGCCUGGUGAGGAUCCACCGCCAGGGCUUGGACAGCCGCGUUCUCGCCUCAUCCUAUGUGCCGGAAGCGGGCAGGCGCUCUCUGACGUCACUCCUACAAGAGCGCUGAUCCCAGCUCCAUGACCCCAUCCUUGAGACCUAAGCACCCGCCAGAGGUUUCAGCACAUGAUUUUAUCACAUUGGAGUUGAAGAUUUCAAUUUAUGAUGGGGGGGGCAUUCAGUUCAUUGCAAUAGCGAAAAUCAGUAUUUCUUCCUUUUCCACAUUUCAGUUCUAAGCCUCCUAUUUUCUCCAUGUCCUAUGUCUUGUAAGCAAUCUUAUACAACCCUCUGUUCUGAUUCUCAGUGUACCCUUCUUUAUCAUUGUGAUGCUCAGAUAUGCAUGUCUUUAUCAUUAAUUUAGCUGCCCCAGCCUAUUGUAUAGGCAUUUGUAUUUCACUGUUUCCAACUUAAUUUGGUUCUCACUUCCAGAGAUUUCCAUGGAAGUUUUCUUUCUAAUUUAUAAUUGGAUGAAAAAUCUAUGUUUUAAAAAUUUGAAUACUAGGCCUUUCUGUCAAAUAAAAUCCCUUGAUUUCUUACUUCCUCACUCUAUCUGCCAAAUGGUAACCAAAUAAGUUUUUAUUCAUAACUUGAAUAUGAUUAUUCAGCUACUUAAUCUACUUGACCAUUUGACUGUUCAAUUUUCUAUCUUAGAAUUCUUCGUUAUCCUCCCCAAAUAAUGCCAUAUUUGACAAACUAGGGCCCUUUGACCAAAGAAAGCGGUGCUAUACAUUCUUCUAUCUUAAUAAUCUGACUGUUAAUCAAAGAGAAAACAAUUUUUUAAGUAACUGCAUGUCUCUAUUAUUGGGCUUCAAGUUUUAUCUUUUUUUCCCUCAUUUAGAAAAAUUCUGCUCUUCUCCAGAUAAUUUACUCCAAGAAGUACACUUCGGUUUUUGGAAAUGAAUCAAAUCACUCUCCCAUUCUCUUUUAAUUGUCUCUCACAUACUUUUCUGGCCAAUAAAUCCCAAAUUUUAAUUGAUGUUCCCCUGAUUUGUCCUCAGAAUGGAAUCAGAGUAAAAGAAACUCUGUCCUGUGAUUCCUUUUUACUUGAAAAUUUCAUCCCCUGAAGUGAGGUUUUGUCUUGAUUAAUCUCUCCCUUCCUCUUUCUCUCUCCCUCUCUCCUUCUUGCUAUUUCCCUCCAGCUCUCUGUCUCUCUCCUUCUUUAGCUAGGUUUUUCGUGUUCCAGGGCUCCAGGCCUGAUCAUCAACACUGCUCAUUUAUUAUUUCCCAAAUGCCAGUGAAAACCCUCAGGGCCCUGAGAUGCUGAAACUUGUCUCCUAUCAGAUCUCAGGGUGUAUUCUGUAAUUGUUAGUAUACCUGUGUCUUAGCUCUCAGUUAGAUUGUAAAUCCUUUAAGGACAAGAAUUGAGUCUACUUCUUUGAUUUGCAAAGCAGAUGCCACACUCACUGGCAUUUUGUAAGUAAAUUUUGGCUCAGUAACUCCAGAGCUGAGCUCCAAAGGGAAGCCACAUGUGGCCAGUGGUCAGGCCCUGGUGAUCUCUGGUUUAAUUUUCACUUUAAAAAUUUACAUAGAAGAAUUUCCUGGAAAUAGAUUUGGAGAGUUGUGACUAGCACUAAAAAUAAGUAAAAUAUAAGCUCAGAUACAAUAUUCCAGUGAAUUUCUCCUAGUGAGGAAAAUCAGGCUUUGAAAGCAUUGUGGUCUAGGAUGAGGAAUCAAGUAGAUCCUUGAUCUGGAGUCACUCAGGUUGUUGACAGAGGAGCUGAUGUAGAGAUUUGCAAAGGAGCCUCUGUAAAAUCAUGAGCAACUUUUUGUGGCUUUUGCUCCUUGGCCCGUCAGUCUAAGUGUGAGGUCUAAGCACACACUGGGUUACUUCUUGGGCCUUGUUAAAUAGCUCAUUCCUUUGUUCGGAACAGUUAGAUGUUCUGAGAGGAUUCCAAACACUGAUGGAAGUCUCAGGGUGAACACAGCCUAUAAAUCUUCCCAAGGGUUUUCAUUUACCCAAAUGGGAAGUUAAUUAUCACUGACAUAAACUGCAAAGAUCAACAACCUCCAAUUAAUUUUAACAAAUGUCCAGGGAGUGCCAAGAUCGUGUGGGCUGAAGACAAAGCUUACGCCUUAGAAAAACUUAGAUCAAAUACAGAGGUGGCUAAACUAUAGACCUCAGGCCAAAGCUGGCCUACUGCCUACUUGUGUAAAUAAAGUUUUAUUGGAAUUCAGCCAGAUGCAUUUGUGCUUUUAUUGUCUGUGGCAGAUUUUGCACAGCUAUGCACAACUGAGUAUAGUUUCAGCAGAGAUCAUGUGGCUGCUCCUUUAUAGAAAAAGUUUGCCAAUCUCAUCUAAUAAAACACAAAAAAUUGAUUAAAAUAGUGUUCUAUGAGAAUUCCAUAUGAAAAUGACAUUGUCAAUAUAAUAUUUUCCUCAUUUAUAUGACUAAAUAACUUAUUUCACCAUCUGAUGGAAAGCCUUAAAAGGACAGAAGAAAGUUUCCCUUUUGAAAACUUAGUGAGAAAAAAACAUUGUGGUCUUUAUGAAAUGGCAUUUCAUGGUUUUCUGUCUUACACAUACAUAAUCACACUGACCAGAACUUGAAUGUUUGACUGCAAAAUGCCGAUAUUAUCAGUGUCUCUCUCUGACACACCCAACCACCCCCACACAUAUAUACACGCACACAAAUCCAGUGCUACGUCAGCUGAAUAUCAGAUCAAAGACCACCAGGGGACUCUCCAUCAGUGUGGGUCACCGUCAUCAUAUGCAGGGCCUCGGUGCCUGGCACUGUUAUUUUUGAGCCAAUAUUUAUUUGUGAAAUUAACUUACUAGCAUGUCUGAAAUUGUACUUGGUAGCACUAGGGUUCCUGUCCUGCACGAGAACCCACUGGAGAAGCAGCUUCCACCCUCGCAUGGACCCAUGGGCCUGUGUGCACAGGUCACCCCAAUUCCUACCGUUCCCCAACUCAGGGGAGGUGUCAGCUGCCAUUGCCAGCAUGCUCAGCAAAGAGAUUUCUCUGCAGCCAUUCUUUUAGAAACAGGAUAACAAAAGAUUCACCAAGAAGACUGUUUAAACAAUGAGUUUUCCUACCUGUUUAGUAUUCAAGCAAAGGGUAUGCUGUCUGCAGUCUCUUUACUCUUUUAUGUUCUUUCCCAACCCCUGUAGAUAGGAUAAUUUGAGACCAGUGUCUUAGACUCAUAAGGAAAAGCAGAGUUGAAAUGAUUUUAGAGAAAAGAUAUCCAAAGAGAAGUGAAUUGAAGAUAAACUUGGAGGUUUAGAGAGAAAAUAUUAGCAUUUAUAUGUUUUAUUGCUUUCUACAUCUGCAUUUUAUUAGUAUAUAACAGUCAAAAAUUAGAACUCAUAUGAAUACGUAAACAUAUCUAGAAGCUGACUCAAAAUUGAGGGAUAGAAGCAUAUUGUGACACAAGGAUGAAGACCAUAGUCUUGGGGACUGGAAGGGGAUCUGAGAGCUCGUUACAUCCAAACCUUCAUUGUAGAAAUCGAGCACCCAAAGCACCAGAAGGUGGGACAAGCAGGUGAAGGGCACAUAGCAUAGACUAGUUCUUCUAAAUCCCACUCACGUGUUCACAAGUCAUGGAGACCACUAUGGUGAUAAAUAAUCGCCCUGCAAUAACCGGGCAACUUGUAGGAAACUGUCAGCCCGCUUCCUCCAGCGAAGCACAAAUUUCAGGUGGUGGUACCCAGAAUACUUUGCCCUUUUUUUGUGAAAAAUGGCAUCUGAUCAAUCUUGCCUGCUGCCAGGAGAGGCCGUGAGCUAUGGCUGUGUUCUCAUUGGCCAGCUCUCCUUGGCCUGCAUCUGCCUGCUUUUCCUGUGGAAAUAAAAUAUAUGGGCAGGAGAAAGGACAUAUUUGGUAAUGUUACGCUCCUCAGCUUCCUGCUCGGGGCUGUCUCAGCUGCAAAAUGUCAAGGGAAAAAAUAUCCCUCCAACUUGGAAUGAAUUCCAGACAGACCCUGAUGCCUGCAAAUUGGUCGGAGGGAGCCAAGUCCGGAGUAAGCGAACAUGAAGAAGGCUCAUUAUGUGACUUCAAGAGACGCUCACAUAAUCAGACACUCUGGUAUUUAUGACUUUCCCCCAUUUCAGAUGGUCUGUAGCUCACAGCUCUCCCCUCCCUUUACCGCCGAUUCUGAGCUUCCUUUUAAAUUAAACCUCAACAGUUAUAAAAAGACUCUCACAUUACUUCUAAGCCACAAGUCCUACCAGGAGACACUCUGUUCAUACAGGGCUGUUAGGGCUGGAAAAGGGCAGCUCUUUUUGAUUAUUAGUCUGGGGAGGGCAGGCCAGGAAGUGAGACUCACUUUACCUUGACCACACGGCAGAAGUCCUCAUCGGGUUCCCAUGUUUGUGCCAGCUCUCUGCCACUCACAGCGCUGAACAUGACGAUCUUUACUGAAAAGUACUUAUUUAUUUCCAUUAGCUUUCUUUUUCAUUUUGGCUCUACUUUUCAUCAGAGGGCAUGGACUAACCAGUGUAUCCUGACACUCCCAGUGUAUGAAUAUAUCACGGGGACUGUGUGUAAGAUUGAAUUUUGGAGGAUCUUUAUCUUUUUGCUGGCAUUCAGUACUUUUUCUCCCCCUCUUUUAACCCAAUUGCCACAUGUUGGCAAAGAGGGAAGGAAAUAGUUUGUAACCCAAACCUCAUUCAAUUCCUGCAUACACAUUUUCCUGUCAGCUUCUUGCUCUUCAUUUCUAAAUGCUAUGGUGUUUGUACUUGGUCAUCCCCAGUCCUUAUUUGGGUUCUCCAAGAAGCACGGAAGCAUCCAAGAAUCAGUUUUAGCAACUGGUGGAAGAGCCCACAUGGGAAAUGUGGUGAUCCGUCUUAACAUGUGGUCUCUAGGAAUAAGGGUCUCCUUUUUCUCUCUCCCUCCACUGUCCAGCACCUUUACACUGGUUUUGCCCCUCAACAGUCUAGGGUUUGUGCUACUUCCAUGGUGAUCAACUGUUAGGUCAUAAACAUCAGAUGUGGCAUCACUGAAUGAGUCAGUGGGGAGGAAGCUGGGCUGGAAACACAGCUGAGAUCCUCUGUUGACAGAUGGAUGCCUUCUUAAUCACAGCCUGUGUGGGUGUAGGGAGAGCCUUGCCUGGCCCAGCCCUGACACUGAUUCACAGACCUGGACUCUAGGAAGAGGCUGGGAAAGCCCAUCCUCAGGGAGCUCCACUUUUUCCUCCUCCUCACCUCUCACAGGACACCCACACCACUAGGAGGAGGCAGGCAUGGACACGGGGAAUGCUAGCUCGUCAUUUUGCAAGUGUCAGGAAAGUAAACCUGCUUUUCUUAUGCAUACUCCUGUGUGGUUCCUUGUUAAACAAAUACAAACCAAAAUGAAUUUUGUUAGCAUUGUCUAUUGCUCUACAUUCAUUUCCGAUGGGGUCACUGACUGUCAUAGCUGUCUCCUUCCCUAUAAAAUGGGCAUAAGCAGGGCUCACUGUUUGGAAAGCAGGGGCUGCUACUUGGCAGCAUUAUUACUGUACUUUGGUGUGUAAGGGAGUUGGUUCCAACACUCGCCAGGGAUAUAAAAAUCCAGGGCAUGUUUAGGUCCCUUACGUAAAAUGGUGUGGUAUUUACAUAAAACCUACGCACAACAUUCUGUAUAUUUCAAAUUACCUCUAGAUCACUUACAUCUACUAUAAUGUAAAUGCUAUGUAAGUAGUUGUUAGACUGUUAUUUAGACAGUGAUGACAAAAAUAAAUGUCUGCACCUGUUCAGUUCAGACUAAGUUUUUCCCCAUAUAUUUUUUUCAGUCCCCAGUUGGUUGACUCCCAGGGUGUGAGACCAAUGGAUACAAAAUGACUUAUGUAUUGCAUUUCUCCAGUUAUCCUUCUAUUAAGCACUGGGUACCACUGGAAGAUUCUCCUCUUAUCGGAUAUUUAAAACACAAUUCCCCAAGCCCAUAUUUUAUUUUAGAAGAAUUAGCUUAAAAUUUCUAAAUCGAAGGUUCCCAAGAGCACAAUGUGAGAGCCAUUGUACAUUUAUUAGGCCAAUGGGAGAUCAGUCAAGGAGAGAGACAAUGUCCUUUCUUGUGGCCACAGUCAGGGACUGCUCAGGAUUCCUGAGGGCCUAUUAGGCUUUCUCCUCCAGGCAUUUUGCACCUGAAAGAGAACAUUCCACAGGAGAGCAGGUUCUAACAUUUCACUGGAAUGCAAUACAAGACCAUGGAAACUCUAGUUCAAAUAAAAUUAUCAUGGCUUAGGUUAACAGCAGAUAGCUCUUGAUGAGCCUGGCCCACCUGCAUUCCCUGUCUGCUAAAGAUACUAAUAAAUAAAAAUAGUUUGAAAACCCAGCAGGGACACUCCAGCCAGAUGUAAGGGAAGAACAUCUGGCCUUAGAGUACAGUAGAAGUUUUGAAGUUUCUCUCUUGGGGAGAGUCUUUAAAAUUAUUUUGGAAGAACAUACUUGAACCAUCAAGAUGCACUCUUGACUCCUGGUCUGGAAAAGAUUACAUAAUUUUCAGGGUUUUCUUCAAGACACAAGAUUCUCCAAGUUGUUAAAAGGUGUCUCUGCAUUAUUCACUGCUGGUAAGAUGGUUACGUGUAACCAGGUCUCAGUAGGAUCCAAGCUACUUCUACAUCACAAAGUCAGAUUCUCCUUGUUGGAAGAGAAUGGAGGAGUGCUUAUUCCAUCUCUUUUUUUUCACCUAUGGACAACUGAGGCAUGCACAGGUGGCCAGCAGAAGUACUGGGUCUAGAAUUCAGCCACCUUGGCUCCCAAUUCUGUGUGAUUUCCACACCAUACUUUUCCUAAAAAAUAUAUAUUCAUGACAUAGCCACAUUUCUAUCUUCCUGGGCCACCAUAGACUUGACAUUCUAGAAAUGCUUUUUUAAGAAUUUUGUUUAUUACAUGAUCAGUACUGAGAUAGAAAUAUGAGGAGCCCUGGGGAUUGGUGUGGCUAAAUAUCACAAUUUAGAAGAAUAGUUUAGGGAAAGGAAAAAAGAGGAAAUGCUAGUUAUAUGAGCUCAUUUCUACUUGCUAAAAAAUUUAAAACAUUAUGUUUGAGACCCAACAACUUUUUCUUUCACUUAUCCCCAUACCAGAGGCUUGCAAGGCAACUCUCUACACAAAUCCGUCUUGUGUAUUUCCUAUCCAGAACAGAAACUUCUGUGACAAGGAAUCUCCAGUUUGUUAACUUCCCUUAGAAAAAGUUCUGUUUCAUCUCUACAGAAUGCAAACUUGUGCUGAAUUUUACCUCUCUGUUAUCCUUGAAAUGGGUAAUUCUUCCUGAUCUUAGAUGACAUUCAAC